AUACGUAGGCGCCAAACGUUGUCCGGAUUUAUUGGGCGUAAAGGGCUCGUAGGCGGUUCAACAAGUCGGUCGCGAAAACCCGGGGCUCAACCCCGGGACGCCGGUCGAAACUGUUGUGACUAGGGUCCGGUAGAGGUGAGUGGAAUUCUCGGUGUAGCGGUGGAAUGCGCAGAUAUCGAGAGGAACACCAGUAGCGAAGGCGGCUCACUGGGCCGGUACCGACGCUGAGGAGCGAAAGCAUGGGGAGCAAACAGGAUUAGAAACCCCGGUAGUCC
rnacentral:rRNA from 1 species